rnacentral:misc_RNA from 1 species
UCAUAGUUUACAAUGCAAUUAUAAGAAUUUUUGAAAAAUUAUUUGGGCUCAUUAAUGUGCCCUCAUCAGUCACUACUGCGUGUACCGGCUAGGUACGGCAUUGGCAGCAAGCUGUGACAUCAGCUGACGUAUGCGCAUAAAGCUCUCGCGUGAGAUAAAAUCUCACGACUGUCCAACACUGCUUCAGAGGUCUCUUACGGCGAAAAUAGUGAACUACGUUUAAUUCUGUAGUCACUGAAUACACGUUGGUUGUUUAUGUUUCUUUAAUAAAAUUUGUUUGUUUGUAUACAAUGAAAAUUAUAUAAUUCUUUUAAUUAUAUGUGUUGUAAAACGUUAUUCAGUAUGUCUGUAGAUUUAAUGAAUAUUGAUGGAAAUAUAAAACGUGUACAGAAGGAAACUUUAACGCCAUACAAAGUUGCAACUGUCAUUUUAAUUAAAGAAUAUUGUAAUGAAACAACAAAAGCAAUUGUUGAAAGACGUGACUUUUGUUUAGCUGCAUUAAAAUUGAUUCAAUCACCAGAUAUGGAGUUUAAUGCAUUAUUGAAUAUAUUAUACUCUUCUGAAUAUAUUUUGCAUCGUUUUGCUCAUCAGUUGGAGGUGCAAUUAAAUGUGUUGAAAGGAAAAGGAGUCGAAGGACUAUUAGAUCUAUUUGAUAGUGUUGGACGUCUGAUGAAACCAACUUUAGAUCAUUCUCUUUCUUUGCCUGCGCUGAAUAAAAAUUCUGUUCUGGGAUUAUAUAUAAGGAGGGUUAUUAUUUUUUUUGAGAAAUUACCUUUUGAUCAAGUAGUUGCACUCUAUGAAGCUUUAAAAAAAUAUUUAGAAAGAAGAACUAAUACUUCCGAAAGUUCUGGUAUUUGUAUGGGUUCUAAACUAGAUGAUUCUUAUUCGAAUGAAAUUAAAACAACUUGGGGUGGAAGGCAGGCAGAAUUACUUGUUGCACAACAAGCGCAUGCACUGCAGACAGAUGAACACAAAGCAAUGCCCCCUGCAGAGCUACAAGUUCUUGUACGAGAACUUUUAAGUUGCAGUCCUUAUUAUGCUGAAGCUCAUUAUUUAAGUUACUUAAAUUGCUUAAGAGUUAACGAAUAUUGUGGGGCUGUAGAUAGUCUAUAUCAUUGUUUCGAUAGAUUAGCUGCUAUGGAAAAUCGUUCUGCACCUGAAGAUAGGCCUCGUAUCUUUAGAUAUGCAGCUUUAAAUUUAGCGGUUCUACAUGCUCAAUUUAAUCAUAAAGAAGUAGCACAAGCUGCUUUAAAAGAAGCUAUCAUGAUGGCACAAGAAGCUGGUGAUAAUGUAUGUUUACAAUUAGCUCAUGCUUGGAUGUACUAUUUAACUACUAGGCAAAAAGGGCCUCUUAUAGAAAGAUCCGUCGGUAAAGCGAGUAUGUUAGGAAUAACUCAUACAACUGGAUUAGGUCUUAUUGCAUACGCACAUAACUCUGCUUUAGAAGCUAAGAAUCCAUCGCAGGUGUUUGAGACUUUGACAAAAUCUGACGUUUUGAAUUGUCAACAUUCCAUGAUAGAUUUAAUGUCAAUGACGUAUGCUGAAAAAUGUGCAUUAUGGGCGUAUUAUGGUAAGACCGAGAUGUCUUCGAUUUGCGCGCAACUGUUACUUUUACAUAAUACAGGGGAUAAAAAACAACACAUGUUCAAUGGACCAUCUACAUGUCAGGCUGUUGUUAACGUUGCAAAUAUUUUAGUAGAAUUUGGUGAAUAUUCUUUGGUUGACAUUGUACUUGCCCAUGCUAAAGAAAGGUUUCCUAAUGAACCUUGUAAUAAGAUAUGGAUGUUGAGCGAGCAGCUUUAUGUAUUCACACAAUCAGUGAGACAAGAAAAAUGGAGUGAAGCUGAAGCAAUAGCAUCAAAUAUAUCAAGUUUAGAUUCAUUGGAAUGUAAAUUUAGGUUGGCAGAAGUUUAUUUAGGCAAAGGAGACUAUCCCAAAGGUUUAGAGUGCAUUGACAGUAUCGAGAAGGAUGAACAAAUUAUACCUCAAAAUAGAAUACGAGCUAUGAUUCUUUCAAGUCAGUUAAUGUGUGCAUCUGUUUCACCAGAGAAUAGAAUUGCAGGAGCAAAUUCUCUAGUGCUUCUUAAUACAGCCUUAGAAUUGGCUGUAAAAAACCAUUUAUCUUAUUACGAAGCAUUAAUUAAAAUGCAUCUUGCAAAUAUUCAGUUAAUAAUGAAUAUGCCGACCUUAGCAUUAAAUUUAGUGGAGGAAGUAAUUACUCAAAUCUUAGCUCAUGGAGGAUAUUAUGAUCAAGGUAGAGCGUUUGUUUUAUAUGCGAAAUGUUUAGUUGCUACCGCUCCUGCAAGCGAUAAAGCACGAAAAGAAGUGAUUUUAAAAGCAAUUAAAAUACUUUCUAAAGCGAAAGAUUAUUUUACAAAAGUCGAAGCAUUUGGAAGACUUCGAACGACAUUGUGUUUAGAAUCUCUAUUAUGCCACGAGAUUGAUCUCAAAACUGAACGAAACCAAUGUGCUUUUGAAUUUCGUCAACUCGACCAACAACUACUUACAAAACUGGAUAAUUUGUCUUUGUAUUAAAAGAAUAAGAAUAAAUAAGAGUUGCCUAUGAUAUGCAUAUUAUGCUUCCAAAAUUAAUAAAUUUCACAACGAAUCAGAUUUGUGAAAGAAAUGGAACUUGAGGAAAAGCGAGGAUACGAAUAACGACAAGCAUACAAUAGAAACAUUUAUUUAUAGAAUCCGCUGCAAAGAUACAACGGAAGUUUUGAUAAUCUAGUUUUCUACCUACUCCGAUACAGGAGUUAGGUACAUUCAUAGAAAUAUAAGAGUAGAAUGCACGAGCGUGUUGAAGAAAUGAUACAGAAAUAGAAAGGAAAUUAUAUCCUUGUUUGAUCACGUAUUUUUAUCUAUUCCUAUAUUACAAUCAUUCACACGCUAGCAUAUGAUUCAUGCACUUUAUUCUUAUAUAAGUAUGAGUACAAUUCAUGCGAGUUGUUUUCAUGUUUCACUUAUUUCGCAACGUCAUCUUGAUUCUUUAUGAAGAUUCAACUCGCACGAAUCAUGUAAUAAGUGCACACGAGACACAGAUAGGUGAGCGACGGUACACGGAAAUUGCAAGGAUGAAUUUUCACCAAAAAAUGCGAUCCUUUCUAGGAGUAUUAACCCCGACAAUUUCGGUGACACGUCAAAGACAUUAGAUGAUGCUUUGUUGAGGAAAGUUUGGAUGUGUAUAAGUGAUAGAUUACAUCCGGUACAACACGUCAAGAAACACGCAUAUAGGUUUUGAAUUCUAUCAGUGACGUCUUCUGUGCUCACUUUACAAUACAACAGAGUGGGGAAGACGUACGAAGAUACACAGCCGGGUUUACACACAAUACUUCUUUUUUUUGAUUUUUCUAGAUACAGCAAUGUCACGGUUUACUAUAUUGUCACCAUCUUUUCAUUUGUUCAGGCGUGCUACAACUAAAUUAUGCACGAAUCACGCAAUAAACUCAAUUUCUUACAGAAAAUUAGAUGAAAGUUUGCAGAGUUUGUUUCUAAUGGCAGAUACUUUAUUUUAAUUCUAGAUUAAAUUUAUUUAAUAGCUUCUCUCAAACUUAUUUAAUUACACAGCCUCUGGCCAUCUUAGCGUUUUUAAUAUUUUUCAUUCCUUCUUUAUAAAUUCAUAAAGAUAAACUGAAUUUUUGUAAUAAAGCAUUAAACUGAGAGUUACAAAGGCAAUUGAUCAAUGUGACUGAAAGAUCAACAUAUUUAUAAUCAAUUAAGUUAACUCAAGUUAUUAUUUACUAUUUGUAUGAUGUAUUGUUUUGGCAGUCAUGUGUUGUAGAUACAUUAACAUAUUGCAAAUUUGUUUAAAACUUUUGGAAUUAUUAAUUUUAAGAAUGAAACGCCAUUGUGUUUAAAUUAUUGCUGAUCAUCAUUUGUAAUAUUAUUUAUAAAGCAUAAUUGCAUCUUACUUCAAUAAAAAAAGAAGAAAAUCAUACGCAAAAUACAAUCGUGUAUCACUAGAACAAUUACAAAA